GCCCUCUCCAUAAUAUAGUACUAUAUAUUUAACGAAAUAACAGAUAGCGAAAAUUAUUUUAAAAAAAAAAUUAGUGAAAUUUUAUCAGGAGGUAAAAUUUUUCUGGAGAUAAUUUACCGGGAGAGGUAAAAUUUCCUUCGGUAAAUAAUCGUGGUACACGGUAUCAGUGGCGUGACUACCGCAGGGGCAACCGAGGCAGACGCCACGGGGAGUAAAAUUCUUUUGGGGGACUUAUAUGCGCGAUAGAGCCCUAGUGUUUGUCAAUUAUUUGGUAUAGAACAUUUAUGAAUAAACUUUAAUCAAUAAAAAACAUGUGUAUGUGAAACAGGCCUAGCAUAGCUAUUAUAGCUGUUCACGCCAAUUUAAUUGAUUGCGAUUCAUGUGUCACCUGCAGAGAUAAAAUUGAUUUUACUUAUUUUUAAAUUAAAACGAAAUUUUUAAUGUAAUAAAGGGUAAUAAUGUAAUGUUGGGUUAUGUUUUCUAAAAAAAAAAAAAAAAAAACAAAAUUAUAAUAAUAAAAAUAUUAUUUUA